UCUGUCUCCCCUGUUAAACCGUCAGCUCCAUGACAGCAAGGCUUUUGGUCUGUCUUGUUUUCUGGUGUAUCCCCCUAUGCCUCAAGCCUAGAACCAUGCCUAGCACACAGUAGGUGUUCAAGAAACAUCUGUGGAAGUAAAGCACAAAUAAAUGAAUGAGUGAAUGCGUGAGUGAAUGAAUGAAAGAAUGCCUCUUUGCAGAGAGGAUGGGGCUCUGUCCAGAAAAGAGCCAAGAGUUCCCCAAGGCAUGCAGUGGGAAGAGGGGGGACUCUAGCGGUCCCCUCUCGGCUCAGGACUUAGCCGGGGUGUCAGGGAGGCCCUGCUUGUUGACGAGGGGCUGUGGCCAAGGUAGCUCUGGUGACCGCGGCCCCAUCUGUCUUCCUCCCUCUGGACGCCCGCUCUGCUCACGCAGUGUGGGAGCUCUGCCCGCCCAGCUCCCCAGCCCACGUCCUGGCUGUGACAGCCUCCAGCCCUGGGUGACCCACAGGGACCUCCCCCAACAGGUGAAGUCUGGGGCAGGGAGAAAGUGCUAGGCAGUUACCCAUCUGACCUUGUGUUCCCGAAAUUGCCAUCCAGGAAGUGAGUAGGGGGCGAGAGAGUCAAUGCGGCUCUACUGAAGGCCCCCCCCAGCACCCCGCCUCCCAGUGGCACUUGAGGCCCGGCCCUCAGUCAGGACGCCCAGCCCAAGGGAUCCUGGGCAGCUGGGCACACUUCCCUGAGCCUCCAGCUCCUCGUGAGUAAACGUGGGUGAUAAUUCUCACCUCACAGGGCUGUGUGAAAAAGCAAUGGGGGCGUGUGAGCAAAAUGCCUCCCACGGGUCCUGCCGUGGGGCUGCACGGGAUAUACUUACACUAACAGACAUUGCACGGGAUGUACUUAUCCGAAAAAUGUAUCUGCUGUUUAUCUGAAAUUCAAAUUUAGCUGGGCAUCCCGGGCUUUUUGUUGUUGUUAUGGAUCUUGUUUUUGUUGGUGCUAAAUCUGGCAAAACCUCAGCCAGGCACGGAAUGUGUUCAGCGAUGUUCACUGAAUGAACCAACGGAGCUAAAAUAUAUUAGCUGAAAGCAGAAACAAAUGAGGGACUGGUUGAAACUCCGUUGUACAGGCAUUAUUAGUAUGGCUGUCAUGGUUUUCUCACUUGUGGUUCAAAAGUUCCUGCCUCUGAGAACAUUCCUGCUCCUGUCCCAGGCUCAGGCUGUUGGGGGAAGUUGGGACCUGCAGAGCAAAAUGACUCACCCAAGGUCCUCAGGGCCCGUCGCUUCCGAGGCCAGGCCAUCUGCACCCCCAGACAGCUCCUGUCCUCCACACGAUGAAAAAACCCACCCCCGCUGGGCACACGUGACCCCCCUGAAUCUCAGAACAGCCCCACCAGGCUGGGACAGCUGCUCUCCCACGGUGCUGAUGUGGAAAGUGAGGCUCCGAGAGGUGAAGGGACUCGUCCAAGCAGCCAGUGGCACCUCCUGGAUGCUGCUUCUCAUCCUGGGGCAGAACCUGGGGCCCAAGAGCUACAGCUGGCAGAGCUCCAGGCUCGGCUAGAACCGUGAAAGCCUGCCGAAGUCCGACCCAGAGGACUCCGUAUCCGGUGCCUUUUCUAGAACACCUGAGGCUGUUCCCACCAGACUCACCUGGGCUCCUGGGCACCUGGACCAUCUUCAGGAGACCUCAUCAUUCACCACCACCUUCAGGGGCCCACGGUGGAAUUCAGGGGCCCAUGAACCUGGACUGGGAAAGAAAGCCUUUACUCCAUUUUACCUGUAUUCGAGUAUUCAACAGUCAUGUGAACCACCUUACAGAUGGGGAAACUGGGACACAGACGGCAGUCCCUCGCCCAAGGUCAUGCAGCCAGGGAGAGGCAGAGCUGAGAUUUGAAUCCUAACACCUGCACCCUAAACCACAGUGAUGAAAAUGAUAGCAAUACAACUGCCAGCCAGUGUUUCCAGCGUAUAUUACAACUCUCUUCAGUCUAUCUGCCAAACAUAGCUGAUCAAGAACUUGUAUCCAGAACAUAUAAAAAACUCUCAAGAUUCAAUAAUAAGAAAAGCCAAUUUAAAAUGGACAAAAGAUUUGAAUAUUGCAUAUCUUCACUAAUUAAGAUCUAUUGAUUAUAAAUCAGUACGUGGAAAGAGGUUCAAUGCAAACUAAAACCACAAUGAGAAACCAGUAAACACCCAAUAGAAUGGCUAAAAUCUAAAAGACUGGCCGUACCAAGUGUGGGUGAAGACACGGAGGAGCUGGAAGCCUCGUGCACUUCUGGUCGGAAGGCAAAAUGGUGCAGCCUCUUUGGAAAGUGGUUUGACAGUUUCUUAAAAAGUUAAGCAUAUACUCAUCAUUCAGUCCAGCAAUUGCACUCCUGUAUGUUUACCCAAGAGAAACGAAGACAUGCCCACACAAAGACUUGUCCAUGUCUGUAGCAGUUUUAUUUGUAAUCCAGCCCUCGGGUCUCUUCCAUAGAGGCCACCAAACACAUGUCUGUAUUAAUGCCUGGAAUGCUCUAGAAGGACCUCUACCUAAAGGAAUUCUUUCCCACCCCAGGCCCCAAUUUUUUUUUUUUUUUUUUGCAACUUUUAAAAAUCUAGAAACAAUAAAUGCUGGAGAGGGUGUGGAGAAAAGGGAACCCUCUUGCACUGCUGGUGGGAAUGUAAAUUGAUACAGCCACUAUGGAAAACAGUAUGGAGGUUCCUUAAAAAACUACAAAUAGAAUUACCAUACGGCCCAGCAAUCCCACUACUGGGCAUAUACCCUGAGAAAACCAUAAUUCAAAAAGAGUCAUGUACCAAAAUGUUUAUUGCAGCUCUGUUUAUGAUAGCCAGGACAUGGA